UCAUGUGAUUCUGCCCUGGACGACAUCGUCAUCAGCGAAGGAGCCUGUCCUUCCUGCCUGACAGGAUGUGAUUUUCGACUACGCUGAGGACCUGUGUGGCUGGCAGACUCCUGUACCGGAGAACCCUGAUAUCUUCGGCUGGAACGUUGAACGGCCAGACAGAGACAGAGGGAACGGACGGACCUGACAACGACUUCUCCAAACCGGGCCUGGGCAGCUACAUGCUGAUGGACUCCUCCUCUCUGCUGUGCCGGGUGCCAAAGCAGAGCUGAGAAGUCCAGUCACCAGUGCUGCUGCCGGUUGUCUGGACCUUACCUUUCCACUACUACCUCUACGGCACCGCCACCACCAUGGCGAUUAACGUCUACGCGGUCAC